rnacentral:tRNA from 1 species
GUUGUGGUUCAGUGGUAAAACGUUUACCUGUCAUGUAUGAGGCCCUGGGUUCAAUCCACAGCAUAACA